AACGAACGCUGGCGGCAGGCCUCAAACAUGCAAGUCUAGGGGGUGUAGCAAUACAUCACCGGCGGACGGGUGCGUAACGCGUGGGAAUGUACCUAUUGGUUCGGAACAACACAGGGAAACUUGUGCUAAUACCGAAUGUGCCCGUAAGGGGAAAGAUUUAUCGCCAAUAGAUCAGCCCGCGUAGGAUUAGCUAGUUGGUGAGGUAAUGGCUCACCAAGGCUCCGAUCCUUAGCUGUUCUGAGAGGAAGAUCAGCCACACUGGGACUGAGACACGGCCCAGACUCCUACGGGAGGCAGCAGUUGGGAAUCUUGGACAAUGGGGGAAACCCUGAUCCAGCCAUGCCGCGUGAGUGAUGAAGGCCUUCGGGUUGUAAAACUCUUUCGACGGGGACGAUAACGACGGUACCCGUAGAAGAAGCUCCGGCUAACUUCGUGCCAGCAGCCGCGGUAA
rnacentral:rRNA from 1 species